rnacentral:misc_RNA from 1 species
CCAAAUAAACCGGCCGAAAGGCCUUGCCCUAGGGAGGGGGAAACCCCCCCCGACGGUAAACCCUUUGUGAAAACCCCCUUGUUUGCCUCGGCGGCACCUUCUAGUCCCCUAGCGGGGCGCGAAGGGUCAGCCCGCCGACGGCACCAACCGAAACUCUUUUGCGAAUAGAAGUCUAGUCUGAAUCAAUGGUCGAAUGACUAUA